GACGAACGCUGGCGGCGUGCUUAACACAUGCAAGUCGAACGGUGAAGUCCCAGCUUGCUGCAGUGGAUUAGUGGCGAACGGGUGAGUAACCCGUGAGCCACCUGCCCCUGACUCUGGAAUAAGCGCUGGAAACGGCGUCUCUUACUGGAUACGAGAUGGGUCGGCAUGGGCUCUUUCUGGAAAGUUUUUCGGUUGGGGAUGGGCUCGCGGCCUAUCAGCUUGUUGGUGAGGCAAUGGCUCACCAAGGCGACGACGGGUAGCCGGCCCGAGAGGGCGACCGACCACACUGAGACGGAGACACGGCCCAGACUCCUACGGGAGGCAGGAAGGGGAAGAGUGCACAAGAGACGAAGGCCUAAUGCAGCGACGCCGCGUGGGGGAUGACGUCCUUCGGGUUGUAAACCUCUUUCAGCAGAGAAGAAGCGAAAGUGACGGUACCUGCAGAAGAAGCACCGGCUAACUACGUG
rnacentral:rRNA from 1 species